UACAGAGGGGGCAAGCGUUAUUCGGAAUCACUGGGCGUAAAGGGCGCGUAGGCGGCCUGAUAAGUAGGGGGUGAAAUCCUGCGGCUUAACCGCAGGGCUGCCUUCUAAACUGUCAGGCUCGAGCACAGUAGAGGCAGGUGGAAUUCCCGGUGUAGCGGUGGAAUGCGUAGAGAUCGGGAAGAACAUCAGUGGCGAAGGCGGCCUGCUGGGCUGUUGCUGACGCUGAGGCGCGACAGCGUGGGGAGCAAACAGG
rnacentral:rRNA from 1 species